rnacentral:tRNA from 1 species
AGGGAAAUAGCUUAGUGGUAGAGCACAUGCUUAGCAUGCAUGAGGUCCUGGGUUUAAUCCCCAGUACCUCCA